rnacentral:misc_RNA from 1 species
GAUGAAGAACGCAGCGAAAUGCGAUAAGUAGUGUGAAUUGCAGAAUUCAGUGAAUCAUCGAAUCUUUGAACGCACAUUGCGCCCCUUGGUAUUCCAUGGGACAUGCCUGUUCGAGCGUCAUUUGUACCUUCAAGCUUUGCUUGGUGUUGGGUGUUUGUCUCGCCUUUGCGUGUAGACUCGCCUUAAAAUAAUUGGCAGCCGGCGUAUUGAUUUCGGAGCGCAGUACAUCUCGCGCUUUGCACUCAUAACGACAGCGUCCAAAAGUACAUUUUACACUCUUGACCUCGGAUCAGGUAGGGAUACCCGCUGAACUUAAGCAUAUCAAUAAGCGGAGGA